rnacentral:rRNA from 1 species
CCUACGGGCGGCAGCAGUGGGGAAUAGUGCACAAUGGGGGAAACCCUGAUGCAGCGACGCCGCGUGAGUGAAGAAGGAAUUCGGUAUGUAAAGCUCGAGCAGCAGGGAAGAAAAUGACGGUACCUGAGGAAGAAGCCACGGCUAACGACGUGCCAGCAGCCGCGGUAAUACGUAGGGGGCAAGCGUUAUCCGGAUUUACUGGGUGUAACGGGAGCGGAGACGGCAGGGCCAGGCUGGCGUGAAAGGCGGGGGCUCAACCCCCGGACUGCUCUGGAAACUGUACGGCUGGAGUGCAGGAGAGGUAAGUGGCAUUCCUAGUGUAGCGGUUAAAUGCGUCGAUAUUAGGAGGAACACCAGUGGC